rnacentral:rRNA from 1 species
UACGGAGGGUGCAAGCGUUAUCCGGAUUCACUGGGUUUAAAGGGUGUGUAGGCGGGCUUUUAAGUCAGUGGUGAAAUCUCCGGGCUCAACCUGGAAACUGCCAUUGAUACUAUUAGUCUUGAAUAUUGUUGAGGUAGGCGGAAUAAGUCAUGUAGCGGUGAAAUGCAUAGAUAUGACUUAGAACACCAAUUGCGAAGGCAGCUUGCUAAACAAUGAUUGACGCUGAGGCACGAAAGCGUGGGGAUCAAACAGG